rnacentral:misc_RNA from 1 species
UAUGAAGAACGUAGCGAAAUGCGAUAAGUAGUGUGAAUUGCAGAAUUCAGUGAAUCAUCGAAUCUUUGAACGCACAUUGCGCCCCUUGGUAUCCCGAGGGGCAUGCCUGUUCGAGCGUCAUUUCACCACUCAAGCCUGGCUUGGUGUUGGGCGACGUCCUCUUUGGGGACGCGCCUCGAAACGCUCGGCGGCGUGGCACCGGCUUUAAGCGUAGCAGAAUCUUUCGCUUUGGAAGUCGGGGCCCCGUCUGCCGGAAGACCUGCUCGCAAGGUUGACCUCGGAUCAGGCAGGGAUACCCGCUGAACUUAAGCAUAUCAAUAAGCGGAGGA